rnacentral:rRNA from 1 species
UACGGAGGGAGCUAGCGUUGUUCGGAAUUACUGGGCGUAAAGCGCACGUAGGCGGCUUUGUAAGUUAGAGGUGAAAGCCCGGGGCUCAACUCCGGAAUUGCCUUUAAGACUGCAUCGCUUGAAUCCGGGAGAGGUGAGUGGAAUUCCGAGUGUAGAGGUGAAAUUCGUAGAUAUUGGGAAGAACACCGGUGGCGAAGGCGGCGAGCUGGUCCAUUACUGACGCUGAGGCGCGACAGCGUGGGGAGCAAACAGG